UGCUCGCUGUGGGUUUGAUGGUGGUGGUGGUGUGGCCAAUUUGGGGUCGACGGUGGUGUGUGCCUUGUUGGUGAGGAGGUGGUGCUCUGUCUGCGAGAUCGUGGCUCAGCCAUGCGCCGGAAUGGGGUUGAUUUUCAUCUGAAGCCGGGUUAGCGGGGUCGUUAUCCUACUCAAUGGAUCACCUCGUUCCCAUAUGGCACACCUCUACCUCUGCGGGGUGCUGUUGGGUGGCAACCAGCCGACCAACGUUCAAGGCUCUUCUCCUUGCUUGGUCAGAUGAAGGUGUAAGUUGAGGUCCUCCUCCUUGCUGAUUGUGCUGAUGAUAUUUGGAAUGGCGGUCGGUGGUGUUGGUGCGUCCGGCUUCGGAUCUUCAAAAGGCCUUCUUCUGUGCCCUUUCCUCGGCGGGUCUUCCGGAGGUUCGGCUGGAUGUGUGUGUGCGUGCGUGUGUGUCUUUUUUGGUUGUGUCUCCUCUUGUUUCCCCCGUGUAUUCUGGUUCGCUUGAACCUAUCUUGUAUGGAGCUGCGAGGCUUCUAGGCAAAUUCGAUGGAAUAUGAGCAUGAUUGGUUUGAUGCCAAAAAUUGGCAUGCCAACAUUUGACAAAUGCCAAAUAUUAGCUAGUGCUUGGUUGGUUACCAAGUUUAC
rnacentral:lncRNA from 1 species